rnacentral:rRNA from 1 species
CAAUAGCGUAUAUUAAAGUUGUUGCAGUUAAAAAGCUCGUAGUUGGAUUUCUGGUGGGAGCGAUCGGUCUGGCGCUUAGCGCGAGUAAUUGCAUCGUCUCCGGCCAUCCUUGGGGAGAGUCUGUCUGGCAUUAGGUUGUCGGGCAGAGGAUCCUCAUCGUUUACUGUGAAAAAAUUAGAGUGUUCAAAGCAGGCUUAUGCCGUUGAAUAUAUUAGCAUGGAAUAAUAAGAUAGGACUUUGGUACUAUUUUGUUGGUUUGCGCACCAAAGUAAUGAUUAAUAGGGACAGUUGGGGGUAUUCGUAUUCCGUUGUCAGAGGUGAAAUUCUUGGAUUUACGGAAGACGAACUACUGCGAAAGCAUUUACCAAGGAUGUUUUCAUUAA